AACAUCCCAUUAGACGAGCCACUUCAACAACAUACUAACUACGCUGCUGGAAAUGGAAAUGCUGCCACCUUCUCCCUCGUGAAACGGAGAGUAGCAGCCUCACCGAAGGAGGUGGGGAAAGACGAGGAGGCACACAAAGACUCUGUGAAGCAACAGUCACUCCCAGGCAGGACUGUCAAACAGAGCAGCCUUUGAGGCACACAAAGAAAAGUAAGGCGUACAGUCAACGGCUCAGCAGAAAACCACUCAGUGAGAGACUAUUGAACACCACUGAGAACCUGAGGAGCAGAAAAGGGGAGAGCAGAAGAGGUGAGCAAAGCAAGGACAGAUUAAGAGCAGUGUGGACAGAAGAGCAGUGAAUGGGAUUUCUUCUCCUCUCACUCCUCCACGUGCAGCCUGUCAUCAGGAUCUAUGGAUUUAUCCAUCCUAACUCUAAUCUCGACCUGACUGCUAAUCUCAGGCAGCGUCCUCCUCCUCCUCCUCCUCUGGACGACGUGUCCCAUAAACAAACUAACCCACUGCCAGAUAAGACACUCUGCAGGGAGCUCCUUCAGGGAAGAAAUGACUUGUUCAUCAGCGUCUCCUCCUCCUCAUCGGCUGGUUUUCUAGUUUCUCACAGUUAGCCUAGGCUUGGCCGAGUGUCAGUAAACAAGCAAAAACUCUCACAGGAUGGAUGCCAGAGAAGAGACACUGAACCUCCUGAACAGGGUGUGGGACAAGCUGCAAGGUCUGCCCAACGCCAACCCCAUAGAGCUGGGAGCUUUCUUCAUCCUGCUCUCCUUCAUCCUCAUGGUCCUGCUCAUGAUAGUUCUGACCUGCGUGAGCUGCUGCUGCUGUCGCAAGAUCAAACUAAAGGGACCCAGCGUUUGAGUAAAUGUGCUUCAAGCAGAAAAAAGCAAUUACACAGACAAUCUCAAAUCUGGCAACUCAGCACAGUAGAUGGUGCAAAACGUCCUUGAAACACACACAUUGUGCCCUGCAAAGUGAAUGAAAACUUAUUCUCAAGAGUCCUGCGCAUGUAGGACACAUGUAUAAACAAGGUGUGUUCGAUGACACUUAACAGGCCCAACCCUUGGACAGCAAAGCACAUGACAAACACAGCGACACAGAGAAGGAUGUCCUGAAAAGCUGCCAAACACACCUGCAAAAGCUGCCAGAAUCUACUUUCCUAGAAGCAUCCCUGCAUAACGACGACACCUCUGGCCUGAGGAGAAGUCAGGGCCAACCCCGAGUGUCUUUAAUAACGCAGGCAAUGCUUGGAACAUACAGGAUUAAAGAUGAGUAGGACUCAUUUAAAAACUGCAAGCUGCACAGCGAGAUAUGAGAGGAAAGGCCAAAUUGGUUUGUUAAUGCUUUUCUGAACACAACUAUGUGUCAUUCUUAAGGAAUGAGAAUUAGCCGUCAGACAUGGAGUUAGGUAAGAACCUCCUAAGGGGAAAACCCCUUUUCAAACCUGAAAAUGUUGUUUGAUGUGUAAAAAAGCAUAAAAAGAGAGCAACUGUGCCCUCUGCUGUACAGAACCUGAAAGGGACUAUUGUGUUUCAAAGCACUGUAUAUACUGUGUGUAAGUGUUUAUAUCUCAGACUGCAUGUUAGAAAUGUGCAACAGGAGGCGACGCUAUAUAAUGACGUGAUGCUUUUGACUUGUAUGUAAAUGAAAAAAGAAACUUCAACAGUA